rnacentral:tmRNA from 1 species
GGGUCUGACUUGGUUUCGACAGGGUGAGGAAACAUCGAGAAGCAUGCCGCAGAUGGUCAAGCCUGCGUUAUCACGGGACCAAACAAUAACUGCUAACAACGAUUAUGCAAUGGCUGCCUGAUCGCAGCAAGCUCCCGUAAGGGAACGACAAGCCUUAGCAGAUAUCGCCGCUGUAUUCUGUAAGGUUAAAAGGUAGUGGCUGCAGACUGUAAGACAAGCUGUCAGAAAGCAGUCCCAAGACUGAUGCCAGCCCGAAUCGGAACAGUUCGUCCGCUUGCUCCCGGUUCAGAUACGAAGGCGGAAUAAGCAUGUAGAAGGCGUUGCGACGUCAUUUUGGACAGGGGUUCGAUCCCCCUCAGAUCCAC